rnacentral:rRNA from 1 species
AUACGUAGGGGGCGAGCGUUGUCCGGAAUGAUUGGGCGUAAAGGGCGCGUAGGCGGCCCGGUAAGUCUGGAGUGAAAGUCCUGUUUUUAAGAUGGGAAUUGCUUUGGAUACUGUCGGGCUUGAGUGCAGGAGAGGUAAGUGGAAUUCCCAGUGUAGCGGUGAAAUGCGUAGAGAUUGGGAGGAACACCAGUGGCGAAGGCGACUUACUGGACUGUAACUGACGCUGAGGCGCGAAAGUGUGGGGAGCAAACAGGAUUAGAUACCCUGGUAGUCCACACGGUAAACGAUGAAUGCUAGGUGUAGGGGGUAUCGACCCCUUCUGUGCCGCAGUCAACACAAUAAGCAUUCCGCCUGGGGAGAACGGCCGCAAGGUUGAAACUCAAAUGAAUUGACGGGG